CUCAAUCCUCAGAGCAGGGUGCUGGGGAGAUGGCUUGGUGGUUGAAACUCUUGCUUGUAAGGAUCCUCAGAAUCCACAGGAAUGCCAGACAUGAAACUGAUGACAUACUAAAGUGAUGAUACUACCUGUGGUGCUCUGUAUACACCUAGCGCAUUGGAAGGUGUGGCCUCAUUGGAACAGAUGUGGCCUUGUUAGAGGAAAUGCAUCACUGUGCGGUGGACUUUGAGGUCCUAUGUUCAAGCUCCACCCAAUGUGGAAGAGAUCUCCUCCUGGCUGCCUGCAGAAGACAGUUUCCUCCUGGCUGCCUUUGGAUCAAGAUGUAAACUUGUCUGCUCCUUCUCCAGCACCAUGUCAUCCUGGAUUCUGCCAUGUUUCUUGCCAUGAUGAUAAUGGACUGAACCUCUGAAACUGUAAGCCCACCCCAAUUAAAUGUUGUUCUUCA
rnacentral:lncRNA from 1 species